UCAAGCGAAUAAGAGCGCAGGGUGGAUGCCUUGGCACUAAGAGCCGAAGAAAGACGUGAUAAGCUGCGAUAAGCUACGGUGAGGAGCAAAUAUCCAUUGACCCGUAGAUUUCUGAAUGGGGAAACCCGGCAGGAGAAACUCCUGUCACUGUAUGGUGAAUACAUAGCCAUAUAGAGGGAACCCGGUGAACUGAAACAUCUAAGUAGCCGGAGGAAGAGAAAACAACAGUGAUUUCCUAAGUAGCGGCGAGCGAACGGGAAAGAGCCCAAACCGGAUUGCGUGCAAUCCGGGGUUCGGACUGCAAACGUCAUUGUAAGAGGAUAACAGAAUGGUUUUGGGAAAGCCAGCCAGAGAGGGUGAAAGCCCCGUACGUGAAAUCUGAUUACAGGCAGCAGGAUCCAGAGUACCACGAGACACGUGGAACCUUGUGGGAACAAGCGGGGACCACCCCGUAAGGCUAAAUACUCCUUAGUGACCGAUAGCGCAUAGUACUGUGAAGGAAAGGUGAAAAGAACCCCGGGAGGGGAGUGAAAGAGAACCUGAAACCCUGUGUUUACAAGCUGUGGAACCACCCUAUGAGUGGAACCGCGUACUUUUUGUAGAACGGUCCGGCGAGUUAUGGUUGCUGGCAAGGUUAAGGACGAAAAGUCCGGAGCCGAAGGGAAACCGAGUCUUAAUAGGGCGCCAAGUCAGCAGACAUAGACCCGAAACCGGGUGACCUACCCAUGUCCAGGUUGAAGCCGCUGUAAAAGGCGGUGGAGGACCGAACGCACAUCUGUUGAAAAAGGUGGCGAUGAGGUGUGGGUAGCGGAGAAAUUCCAAUCGAACUCGGAGAUAGCUGGUUCUCCCCGAAAUAGCUUUAGGGCUAGCCUUGAGUUAGACAUAUGGAGGUAGAGCACUGAAUGGCCGCGGGGGCGUCAAAGCUUACCAAAGCCUAUCAAACUCCGAAUGCCAUGUUGCCGAUGCUCAGGAGUCAGACUGCACGAGAUAAGUUGGGUAGUCGAGAGGGAAACAGCCCAGACCUACAGCUAAGGUCCCAAAGUACAUGUUAAGUGGAAAAGGAUGUGGGACUUCGAAGACAACUAGGAUGUUGGCUCAGAAGCAGCCAUACAUUCAAAGAGUGCGUAAUAGCUCACUAGUCGAGAGGUCCUGCGCCGAAAAUGUCCGGGGCUAAAACACGACACCGAAGCUUAGGAAUCGAGAGAUUGGUAGAGGAGCAUUGACAGCGCGCCGAAGCUGUACCGGAAGGCGCAGUGGAGUGCUGUGAAGAGAGAAUGCCGGAAUGAGUAGCGAGAGUAAGGUGAGAAUCCUUACGGCCGAAUAUCUAAGGUUUCCAGAGUAAAGCUGAUCUGCUCUGGGUAAGUCGGGACCUAAGGCGAGGACGAAAGUCGUAGUCGAUGGAUAACAGGUGGAGAUUCCUGUACUCCGUAUAAACAGAACUGUGGGGACACGGGUGGAAAGCCUGACCCGGGAAUGGAAAGACCGGGACAAGCGAGGUACCAGAUAAGGAGGCAAAUCCCCUUAUCAAUGGGAAGACGUGAUGUGGAGCGAACCAAAGGGUAGCGAAGCAGGUGAGCCAGCCGUCGAGAAAAGCCGCUAUUGUUUUGUACGGACCCGUACCGUAAACCGACACAGGUGGAUGAGGAGAGAAUCCUAAGGCCGACGGGAGAAGCAUUGUUAAGGAACUCGGCAAAAUGACCCCGUAACUUCGGGAGAAGGGGUGCCUGCGAGAGCAGGCCGCAGAGAAUAGGCUCAAGCAACUGUUUAGCAAAAACACAGGUCUAUGCGAAACCGAAAGGUGAAGUAUAUGGGCUGACGCCUGCCCGGUGCUGGAAGGUUAAGAGGAGGAGUCAGGCAACGAAGCUCCGAAUUUAAGCCCCAGUAAACGGCGGCCGUAACUAUAACGGUCCUAAGGUAGCGAAAUUCCUUGUCGGGUAAG
rnacentral:rRNA from 1 species